rnacentral:rRNA from 1 species
UAGGGAAUCUUCCACAAUGGACGCAAGUCUGAUGGAGCAACGCCGCGUGAGUGAAGAAGGUUUUCGGACCGUAAAGCUCUGUUGUUGGUGAAGAAGGAUAGAGGUAGUAACUGGCCUUUAUUUGACGGUAAUCAACCAGAAAGUCACGGCUAACUACGUGCCAGCAGCCGCGGUAAUACGUAGGUGGCAAGCGUUGUCCGGAUUUAUUGGGCGUAAAGCGAGUGCAGGCGGAAGAAUAAGUCUGAUGUGAAAGCCCUCGGCUUAACCGAGGAAUUGCAUCGGAAACUGUUUUCUUGAGUGCAGAAGAGGAGAGUAGAACUCCAUGUGUAGCGGUGGAAUGCGUAGAUAUAUGGAAGAAUACCAGUGGCGAAGGCGGCUCUCUGGUCUGCAACUGACGCUGAGGCUCGAAAGCAUGGGUAGCGAACAGGAUUAGAUACCCUGGUAGUCCAUGCCGUAAACGAUGAGUGCUAAGUGUUGGGAGGCUUCCGCCUCUCAGUGCUGCAGCUAACGCAUUAAGCACUCCGCCUGGGGGAGUACGACCGCAAGGUUG